GACGAACGCUGGCGGCGUGCUUAACACAUGCAAGUCGAACGGAAAGGCCCUGCUUUUGUGGGGUGCUCGCGUGGCGAACGGGUGAGUAACACGUGGGUAACCUGCCCUUGACUUUGGGAUAACUUCAGGAAACUGGGGCUAAUACCGGAUAGGAGCUCCUGCUGCAUGGUGGGGGUUGGAAAGUUUCGGCGGUUGGGGAUGGACUCGCGGCUUAUCAGCUUGUUGGUGGGGUAGUGGCUUACCAAGGCUUUGACGGGUAGCCGUCCUGAGAGGGUGACCGGCCACAUUGGGACUGAGAUACGGCCCAGACUCCUACGGGAGGCAGCAGUGGGGAAUAUUGCACAAUGGGCGGAAGCCUGAUGCAGCAACGCCGCGUGCGGGAUGACGGCCUUCGGGUUGUAAACCGCUUUCGCCUGUGACGAAGCGUGAGUGACGGUAAUGGGUAAAGAAGCACCGGCUAACUACGUG
rnacentral:rRNA from 1 species